rnacentral:rRNA from 1 species
GAUGAACGCUGGCGGCGUGCCUAAUACAUGCAAGUCGAGCGAACAGACGAGGAGCUUGCUCCUCUGAUGUUAGCGGCGGACGGGCGAGUAACACGUGGAUAACCUACCUAUAAGACUGGGAUAAAUUCGGGAAACCGGAGCUAAUACCGGAUAACAUGUUGAACCGCAUGGUUCAACAGUGAAAGACGGUCUUGCUGUCACUUAUAGAUGGAUCCGCGCCGCAUUAGCUAGUUGGUAAGGUAACGGCUUACCAAGGCAACGAUGCGUAGCCGACCUGAGAGGGUGGUCGGCCACACUGGAACUGAGACACGGUACAGACUCCUACGGUAGGCAGCAGUAGGGAAUCUACCGCAAGGGGCGGAAGCCUGGCGGGGCAACGCCGCGUGAGUGAAAAAGGUCUUCGGAUCGUAAAACUCUGUUAUUAGGGAAGAACAAUUGUGUAAGUAACUAUGCACGUCUUGACGGUACCUAAUCAGAAAGCCACGGCUAACUACGUG